rnacentral:rRNA from 1 species
AUUGAACGCUGGCGGAAUGCUUUACACAUGCAAGUCGAACGGCAGCACGGGGCAACCUGGUGGCGAGUGGCGAACGGGUGAGUAAUACAUCGGAACGUGCCCAAUCGUGGGGGAUAACGUAGCGAAAGUUACGCUAAUACCGCAUACGAUCUACGGAUGAAAGCGGGGGAUCGCAAGACCUCGCGCGAAUGGAGCGGCCGAUGUCAGAUUAGGUAGUUGGUGGGGUAAAGGCUCACCAAGCCGACGAUCUGUAGCUGGUCUGAGAGGACGACCAGCCACACUGGGACUGAGACACGGCCCAGACUCCUACGGGAGGCAGCAGUGGGGAAUUUUGGACAAUGGGCGCAAGCCUGAUCCAGCCAUUCCGCGUGCAGGAUGAAGGCCUUCGGGUUGUAAACUGCUUUUGUACGGAGCGAAAAGGCUCUGGUUAAUACCUGGAGUUUAUGACGGUACCGUAAGAAUAAGCACCGGCUAACUACGUG